AUUGAACGCUGGCGGCAGGCCUAACACAUGCAAGUCGAGCGGAUGAGAGGAGCUUGCUUCUCGAUUCAGCGGCGGACGGGUGAGUAAUGCCUAGGAAUCUGCCUGGUAGUGGGGGACAACGUUUCGAAAGGAACGCUAAUACCGCAUACGUCCUACGGGAGAAAGCAGGGGACCUUCGGGCCUUGCGCUAUCAGAUGAGCCUAGGUCGGAUUAGCUAGUUGGUGAGGUAAUGGCUCACCAAGGCGACGAUCCGUAACUGGUCUGAGAGGAUGAUCAGUCACACUGGAACUGAGACACGGUCCAGACUCCUACGGGAGGCAGCAGUGGGGAAUAUUGGACAAUGGGCGAAAGCCUGAUCCAGCCAUGCCGCGUGUGUGAAGAAGGUCUUCGGAUUGUAAAGCACUUUAAGUUGGGAGGAAGGGUUGUAGAUUAAUACUCUGUAAUUUUGACGUUACCGACAGAAUAAGCACCGGCUAACCCUGUGCCAGCCGCCGCCGUAAUAC
rnacentral:rRNA from 1 species